ensembl:snRNA LOC120093307 U6 spliceosomal RNA
GUACUUGCUUCAGCAGCACAUACAUAUAAAUGGGAAGGAUACAAAGAUUAACAUGGCCCCUGUGCAAGGAGGACAGGCAAUUUGUGAAGUGUUACAUAUUUAC